rnacentral:piRNA from 1 species
GCAAAGUGGGGAUUCUGUUUACUU